AUGGUGAACUCCGUGUUGCCCGAGCCGCAAGAAGAUCGAUGCGCGGGAGUGGGAACACCCGAAUCUCCAUCAGAUCCUACCGGCACUUCACUCGCUUCUCUCACCGUUGCAUGCAUCUACUCCAGACUCUCCUUAAUGAUCGCAAUGUCCUUAGCCAUCCCUACUACCAUGCCAAAGAUCGUGUCGAUCUUCGCCUCUGUAGUCAAUGUGGUGCUCUCAGGAGCAGGAGGAAGUGCAGGAGCUCUGGCUUUAACAUCAACCCUCUCUGUCAACAUAAGUAUGAACCAUGGAAGAUGGCUCCCCGCUCCCUCACCCCAGAAGAUGGCUCCCCGCUCCCGCGGGCCUGGCGGAAGCGACCCCACGUCGCCGCCCGGUGACCCCUCGUCGCCGCUCCCCCAAGGGACGGCCAUCGUCUUCUCCUGCGCCCUUGGAAGCCUCUCCGUCCUCCCCUCCGGUGCGACCUCCGCGUCGCUCUCCCUCCCCUGGCGCGUCCCCCGCGCGCCUCCGGCCUCCGCCUGCUCAGAGGGGCACCCCGUCGUCGUCCCAGCGCCUUCCCCAACGCCCCUGCCUCGCUCCACCGCCACGCUCGCCCCGCGCAAUGAUGGCUUCGACGCCCUGCUGCGCGGCAUCCGGCGGGGGGAUCCCGGCCACGUCGAGUUCAGAAAACCAGGUGCGGCGUUCCUCGACUCGGUCAUGCUCAACUUUCACACCAUGGUUGCUUCGCCCCUUGCUCGGUUGUUUCCGGUAGACUCUUGCCGUUUCUGGAUCACUCCGGCAACACCGUCCCCCCGCAUGAACUCUUUCUUCGUCAAGAACGCUCUGAAUUUCUUGCUUACGGACGCCCCCGACGGCUUCUCCGUGGCCGCUGAUGGCGUCGGCUGCUUCUGCUCCCUGGCUGCGUCUCCGGACGUCGCCAACUUCAUUGUCGCCACGGCGUGCUUGCGCCUCGGCCGGACGGAGAUGCUCCUUCACCGCCGCAGGGCGGACGCGGUUGCCUCAGCUGCGCAUGCCCACAUGCAGCCACUCCCCCUCUCCUUCGCGAAUCCGGCUGCCCGGCGAUGGCCUCUGCGGCACCGCGCGCCCAUGCCCCGCUUCUUCGGCCCCCGCGCGCCCAUGCCCCGCUUCUCCGGCCCCUCUCUCCCCCAUGGCUCGCCCUCCCUGCCUCGUUCCUAUAAAGAGGCGCUGCUCUCCCCUGCAGCUCCUCCACACAGCCUUCGGCACAUCCUAGACUUCCUCCCCUCGCCGGUUAAGAAACUGUGCCACAAGUGCUAUUCCUCGGCUCACCUCGUCCGAGAUUGCCGUGACCCCGUGCGGUGCCGUGACUGCGGUCGUUCCGGCCACAUCAGCUCGCAAUGUAAGUUUGAUCCCCUUGUGCUCAUCCCUUCUUCCCCCACCUCCACUCUCCUUGUCUCACCUCCCCGGUACUCAUCUCCGCCGUCGUCCCCUUCCAGGCUCUCCGACGUGCUCUCCCACUCCCCUUCCACCCGGUCCCGCUCCACCUCCCCCGUCCGCUCCCCUCCCCGUGAGCACUGGAUGACCCGGUACUACAGGGAGGUCGAGGCCGAGCGUAGCAUGCCCUUCUUCUCACGCCCCCCGACUCCGUUCCCCCGCGGCGCUCCCUCCUCCUCCGGCGCGAGCUCCACCGACACUCCGAUGGAGCCGGCGGCUGCCGGGGGCCCCAACCCUACGGCCGGCAGCUCCGCUGGCGCUCAUGAGCCGGCUGCGCGAUGCCGCCCGGAGUACGCCGAGUGCUUCAUGCCCAUGGUGGACAUGGCGCACUCCCGCUGCUUCGCCUAUGCCCUCGUCGACCCACCAUCGCCAAGCCCGGCGGACCUCCUGCGUCGGGCGUUUGAGCAGCGUGCCGGCAACCCUCCGGUGCGCCUGGCGCCGUCCCACUACGGCGCCUUGAUGGUGAUCUUCUCCUCGGAGCCCGCUCGAGAGUUCGCCAUUCGUGAGUUCUUCCCGCUCCCCUUCGACGGCCACGUCAUCCUCCUCGAGCGGCCGGAGAACGGUGAGAACCGCUUCGGCUGGGAGUACACGUGCUUCGCGCAACUCUCGGCCACCGGCUUCCCCCUCGAGCAUUGGCAUGAGGCCGGCAUCCGCAAUGCCUUCCGCUCCAUCGGCAACGUCUGCUGCAUCGACCCCCUCUGCCUCAACGAGCUGGACUUCUCCGCAGUCCGCCUCGUCAUCCGCCUGGAGCACGAGGACGACGUCCCGCACGCGCUGCUUCUCCGCAACUACCACGGCGACCUCUCUACGGACGUGUCCAUCCGCCGGGUCCGCUCCUGGACCGUGGCCGAGGAUGGCUCCUCCGUCUCCUCCCACCACUUCGAGCCGUACGGCGGCUCGCCUCCACCCUCUCCGCGCGUGCGCCGCUCCUCGGCUAUGGACGACAUCGACACCGAGAGCCUCAGCGGGUUCGGGUCCCUCUCGCUUGAGGCGGCCCCCUUUGCUCCCGCGCCCCCGGCCGGCGCUUCGGGCGGCCAGGACAGCCCCGCCCUGGCUCGCCUCCGGUGCGAGAUCGGCCGUCGCCUCUCGUGCCUUCUGACGGAGCCCUUCCCCACCUGCUGGUGCUCCCUCCUCCCGCCGGCCACGGCCCUCGUCCCGGAGUGCGAGGCCGAGUCCGAGGCUGCGUCUGACUCCUCCCUCUCCUCUGGGGUGGUCUUCGCCGCGGCUGAUGCAGAGGCUCCUCUCCUGGCGCCUUCCGACCUCUGCAACGACGAGCACGAGCACGCCGCGCGCAAGCGCCGCGGCCUCCGCCAACACGCCGUCGACUCCGAGUUCGUGGAGGGGCGUCGCAGCCUGCGCCUUGCUGGGAAGGAGCCGGCCGCCUACGUGAAGAUGCUUGAGCGGGCCAAAGCGGUGAAGGCGGCGCGGUUCGACUCCUCCAAGGGCUCUCCGCGUCUCCGUGCUGCUAUCAGGGCUGCGGGCAUCGGCGAGGACGAUGGCGUCGUUCCUCCCAUGCCUCUUCGUCUGCUCCAGGAGCUGGGUGCUCCCUGCGGUGUGGACCCUGAUGCUCUUGCAGCCGGGGCCCGCGCUGAGUUCCACAGGCUUGCCGUGCUCCCGUCCGUGGAUCCCGACGAGGGGUUGUCGGAGCGCGUUAUCCUCUCUUCUUUUUUCUUUUCCCCCCGUGGGUGCCGCGACGUACGCGUGGAUAUCGACGCCAUGCAGCCCUCCUUCCUCGCUCUUCAAGAAACUAAACUUGUAGCCCCGGACUCACGCAAAUCUGACUCCUUCCUCCCAAAUGCGUUGCGCUCGUUCCUCCUGGCUAACGCGGUCGGCUCGUCAGGUGGGCUUUGCACUGCUUGGGACUCCCGCGUCUUCUCCAUCGCUAGUAACCUUUGCUCCCCUCGCGUGCUCUCUGUUGACUUGAAUCUCUGUCACGACAAUUCCCUUGUCCGCAUCACGAAUGUUUACGCUCCCUGCGACCACGCGUCCAAGCCCGCCUUCCUUGCCGAGCUCUCCGGCCAUGCCCCCGGUGACGCCAUCCCACGGGCCGUUUUGGGCGACUUCAAUCUUACUCGUUCUCCCGAAGACCGCAACAAUGCUAAUUUCUGCCGGACCGAGGCCGCACUCUUUAAUGACUUCAUCAAUGAGCUCUCUCUAAUUGACCUCCCCCUCCGCGACCGUCUUUACACGUGGUCCAACCGCCAGUCCUCCCCAAUCCUUGCUCGGCUCGACCGGGUCCUUGUCAACGUGUCGUGGGAUGCUAGGUUUCCCACUUCCACCCUCUCAUCCUUCACCCGCUCUACGUCCGACCACGUCCCCCUGGUUGCGUCGAUCUCUUCCUCCGCCCCCAAAACCCGCAUCUUUCGCUAUGAGAAGGCUUGGGCGCUGCACCCAUUGUUCUGCUCUGCGGUCGUUGUAGCUUGGGCCUCCGCUUUUCGGCCGGAUCCUACUGCUCGACUCGUUGCUCGUCUUCGUCAAGUUAGGCUUUGUUGUAAACGCUGGACGAGACGGGCGGCGCCUGCUUCCCGCCGUGAGCAGGACUGCCGCGUGCUCGUUGGCUUCCUUGAUCGCGUUGAAGAGCUGCGCCCCCUCUCUUCCCUCGAGUGUCUCCUCCCAACUCUCACUAUCGACGCCCUGCACCUCUCCAUCAAAGAGCGGGUCCUGUACUGGAAGCUCCGUGCCAAAGUUCGCUUUGCCGUGGAUGGGGACGAGAAUACUGGCUUCUUUCACGCCUCCGCCUCCUCACGUUUCCGGCGAAACUGUAUCCCCGUCCUUUCUGUCAACGGGAUCGACCUCCAUUCUCAUGAGGACAAAGCUGCUGCCCUCCGGACCUUCUACAAGGAUCUCCUGGGUACGGCGCCAGCCUGCUGCUGGAGUUUUUCCCUCUCGGACCUCUACCCCGACUCGACUCCGCUCCCCGGUGACCUCACGGCCCCCUUCUCCCCGGACGAGAUCCGUCGGGCCUUUCUCGACAUGAACCGUCUCUCCAGCCCCGGACCGGAUGGUUUCGGCCCCUCUUUCUACGCUUCGUUCUGGGAUACUGUCGUUGCGGAUGUCGAAGGGGUCUUCCAUGACUUCUAUGACGGUACUCUCGAUCUCACCCACAUAAACCGAGCCUUCCUCGUCCUUCUUCCUAAGUUUGAGGUAGCUCGCCCGCCGUCUGAUUUCCGCCCCAUCUCCCUGCAAAACUGCAUCAUGAAGGCCAUCACCAAAGCGUUGUGCUCCCGUUUGCAGCGAUACAUUCACUCUCUAGUUGACCCCGAUCAGACCGGGUUCCUCCAUGGCCGCCGCAUCUCUGAGAAUAUUGUCUACGCUGCUGACCUUCUUCGCGUUUGCCACACCCGGCGAGCUCCUACUGUGGUGUUUAAAAUCGAUUUCCGGAAGGCGUUCGACUCCGUCAACUGGGCCAGCCUCCUUGCCGUCCUCUCGGCUCGGGGUUUUGACUCUAAGUGGUGCGGUUGGAUUCGCGCUAUUUUGUCUACCGGUCACACCUCGGUUCUCCUGAAUAAUGUUCCUGGGGACUGGAUCCUUUGUCGCAACGGCCUGCGUCAGGGAGACGCGCUCUCCCCCUACCUUUUUAUUAUCAUUGCGGAUGUCCUUCAACGUCUCAUUCGCCGUGCUUCCGACGAGGGGCGGCUCGCCCACCCCAUUGACCCUUCCCUCCCGUGCCCCGUUCUGCAAUACGCCGACGAUACCCUUAUCCUCUGCCGCGCUGACAUUCCCUCGGUUACCCACCUCAAAACCUUGCUGGACGCUUUUGCCCUCGCUACCGGACUCGCCAUAAACUUCCACAAAUCUGGGUUCAUCCCGAUGCACUGCAGUGGUGAACUGUCGGCGGCCUUGGCUGGGAUCCUGGGCUGCCCUAUCUCUUCUUUUCCUCAACCCUACUUAGGACUCCCCCUGUCUCCCCAUAAGCUCCCCAUCUCCGCCUAUGACCCCCUCAUCCGUUCUUUCGACCGUUACCUUUCGGGCUGGCGUGCCCUGCUCCUUUCCUCUGGUGGCCGAAUGAUGAUUCAGAAUCUUCUCUCAAUUACUAUUGGACUUGAAGGAGGACAAUGGCAAGCUGAGGCCUUCGGUGAAGGAGAUGCGAAAUGCAAAUGUGGCAUCGUUCCCGUUCGCCUCGACCUCCCUUCUCUCCCUCAUGUACUCUCUGUCACCGGCGUACCUAGCACCCCGUGCUCCUCACAGUCGCCCAAGGUUAGCGGCGACCGUAGCGCCUCACAGCCCCCGGACCAAUGUGUGGACAUGGACGGUGAUGACAAGCAGCUCGUCAAGGCAUAUAUACAUAACGUUACCCUAAAUGCGAGGGUACUUUGGAGAUCAAGAGGCGGCAUUGACCUUUGUUCAUGGCGCGCAGACGGCGGGUGGACGAGGAAGAUCGCGCCGAUAUGCCUAAGCCGCAAAAAUGCUAGACCUACAAAACGCACGGUCGCGCGUCCGUCUCACUUCCCGCCCUACGCGCCGCGCUCCAUGAAUAGUCGGCCAGAGGUGCAUGGUGACGCGGCAGGCAGGUUGGCGUCAAUUUCAGUUCCACCCGACUCCAUGGCGACGAAACAGCACCUCGCCGGCUCGCAGCCGUACCUCCAUAUAUCUCUCGCUCCUUCCAGCUGCAGCUCGUACGAUCUCGGUCUCGGUCUCCCCCUUCUCUUCUCCUGCUACUCCACCAAGCCUCCCGGGCGCUCUCUACCGAACGGCGGCGACGCGACGGAGUGGAAGAAGGUGGCCGAGCUGAGGCCUGAGGGCCGUGGUCGAGGCCCAGGACCCCGCUGCCAAGGACCAGCUACUGCCAUGUGCCAUCCGUCCUAUCUUCGGUCCGAGCUAGCUAGCCAGACGUUGACACAUACUACGGUUAACCGUAACAGAGCAAAUCUUUGGGGCCUCCUCUCAUCUAGUUCAUAUGAUAGGAACACCGUAUGA
rnacentral:rRNA from 1 species